rnacentral:rRNA from 1 species
CCCGCUGAACUUAAGCAUAUCAAUAAGCGGAGGAAAAGAAACUAACAAGGAUUCCCCUAGUAACUGCGAGUGAAGAGGGAAGAGCUCAAAUUUAAAAUCUGGCAGUCUCUGGCUGUCCGAGUUAUAAAUUAGAGAAGCGCUAUCCGCGUUGGCCUGUGCAAAAGUCUCUUGGAAAAGGGCAUCAUAGAGGGUGACAAUCCCGUCUUUGGCACAGACUACCAGUGCUGUUGUGAUACGCUUUCGAAGAGUCGAGUUGUUUGGGAAUGCAGCUCUAAAUGGGUGGUAAAUUCCAUCUAAAGCUAAAUAUUGGCGAGAGACCGAUAGCGCACAAGUACCGUGAGGGAAAGAUGAAAAGAACUUUGAAAAGAGAGUUAAACAGUACGUGAAAUUGUUGAAAGGGAAACGCUUGAAGUCAGUCGUGUCCUUCAGAAAUCAACCCGACCUUUUGGUUUGGGUGUACUUUCUGACUGGACAGGCCAGCAUCAAUUUUGACCGUCGGAUAAAGGCCUUGGGAAAGUGGCAUCUCUGGAUGUGUUAUAGCCCAUGGUUUGAUACGAUGGUUGGGAUUGAGGAACUCAGUGUGAAUUGGGGCUUCGGCCCACAUGCACGCACUUAGGAUGCUGGCGUAAUGGCUUUAAUCGACCCGUCUUGAAACACGG